rnacentral:lncRNA from 1 species
CACACACAUACACACAUAUAAACACUUUUACUUUAACAUCAAAUCUAGCUUUCUUCCAUUCUAUUGGACUACCUUUAAAGGAUUAUUUCAUUUUAUCCAAUUCUAGGCAAAAGAGUAUUUCUAUUUAUCAGAAAAGUUAAAUGACUUAUCCAGUGUCUUACAAUUAGGAACAGCAAAGCACAAAUCCCAUGCUUCUAACUCCUAGUUAGUCAAGCUUUCCCACACGUAGUUCAGUCAUUUCUUAACCUGUAAUACUUUCAACUCACAUGUUUCAUUACCUUCAGGAGAUAUUUCAGGGGAAAUUAACUUUUCUAGAAACAACCUCUUCCCAAAUUUGGCUUUGUCUAUUCGAUAAGUACACAAUUUUGGGAUUUCUCUUCUAUAACUAUUUCUCUACCAUGUUUCCUUGCCUGAGAAAGGGGUGUAGCUUUUGACACCACCCCUGUAAUUAUAGCUUUUCAUGCAAUCCUAUUCAACUUUCCCUUCUUUCAAGAUAAUCCCUAAAUUGUGAAUCAAAGUCCAAGGCUUCAUUCAUUGCCUUCAGUCAUCUGCUUCUGAUUUAAUUCUUCCUUAUGAGCCCAGCAGGUAAUGAUUUGGUCAUGUUGCCUCCCUUAUGGCAAACAAUUCAUUUCAGAUUUAAGCGGAAGUAGAUUCUACCUGCUUUGGAGAAGCAAGUAUUAUGGAAAAAGUGCAGAGAAUAAAACUAUAUAUUGCAUAGUUCUUAAUUUAACCCUCCUCUGAAGACACUGGAGUAACAGGAUAAUCCUCCAAUUUAUUUCAGGGCUCUCUUUCCCUAGUCUAUAGUCUUUCAUUUCUAACACCUACUCAUUGUUUUCUCCUCCCCUUAUUUCUGAAGUUGAUGCCUACUUUUGUAUCCCUGUUUUACCAUAAUAAAUCUUUAAGAGGUUGCCACCUCUGACAGCUCCCCUCCAUUUCCCUUCACAAUAAGCAUAACUUCUAUAAACUCCUUUUCCCUACCUAAUCAAGCUACCUUUUCUAAAUCUCCCUUCCUCUUAAAUAGUAUCACUUAUUCCCUUCCAUUUAGUCUGCCUCCUUUAAUUACCUCCAGAGUGAAUAGCCUCCUACCUCCUGUCCCUAAAAGAAAUUGCUUCAAGCAAGUCUCAGCUGUCCCCUCAAAUAAAUAGCUUUCCAUAAUCUGAAUCAGUCUAAAAUACUGUCUUUCAAAACCUCUACUCAUUCUUCCUUCCCUCACAGGCAGGAGCUUUCUCCCACCCUCCUUAUCUGAGUUUUGAAUAAUCUCAUUGGAACUGAUUUUUUUUUUUAAUUCUCAAAGUAAAAAGACCUAAUGUAACCUCUUCUGGUCCCUUUCUGUCCUGGAGAAAAAGCUAUAGCAUGAAGUAUAUAAUAUCUCCCUUGUGCUUCUAUGAUUGUUUUUCUUCUAAUAAAAUGAGAAGGAGGAUACGCUGAGCCAUUCCCAGGCCAAACACAUUCUACUGUUUAUUACACAUAUUACAUUCUUAAAUAAAAAUGCGUCACAUAACAUUUUUUGCAUAGAUAUCUUACAAUAUACCAAUUUAAAAAAGAAUUAUGAAACAGACCAGUAACAAAAAUAAAUUUUUUCUUCAUUAAUAAUUUUGUAACAUUAACAUACCACCAUCAUAUAAUACAAAUAAUAUUUUUAAAUCUUAAGACUUUUGUACAGCAAAAAAACUUGACAAAGUAAUAUAUUUAUAUAUAUAUAUAUAUAUAAAAAGCUUAAAAAAAAUAAAAUGUCAAAAAAAGGCAGAACUGAGGGCUAUAAGACUAGGUACUUCUGUGAUAUAUUAUAAAUACCAGAGAAGGCCUGAGAGAAUGUGACUGUGGGGUUGAGGGGUGGGUCUCUCCAAAUACACUUGUUAGACAUCUGGCAAAAGAAAUGAUAUAGUGCAAAAAACAAAUUCCUUCAAGCAGUAUCUUAAAAAAAAGGGGAGGGGGGAUCAGAUACAAUUUAAAAGCAAAUAAGUUUGUGCGUGGAGGAUUAUGGGAGUGAGAAAGUAACUUUGGGGUAAUUUUGAUGGUGAAGAGGGAAGGGCUAGGAAAACCACUAAACAUUUAUUUUGCCUUAAGUCUUGUUAGGGGAGAUCUGGAUGAUAAUAAGUGGUUGUUUUGUUUUGACCCCUUCUUGGUCAUGAAAUACAAAUGCAGACUUAAAGAAAAAACAAAACAAAACAAAACAAAACCCCCAAAAUUCUAGUUUGAGCCUGUAUUCAGAGAGCAAAUGCAUGCUAGAAAAAAUAAAUAAAUCCAAGUCAAGGACCAGCCCAUAAUCCAGAAAGCCUUCCUGGGUCUAUGUGAUUGCAAUUAUUCUACCUCCAGCCCAAAGGCAUCACAGUUAAAAUGUCCCCUCAUUGUGUUCUCCUCCCAGCGUUUACUAAUUUUAAUAUACUGGCAACUGUAAGCAUGCUUUCCCUCCAAAGAAGAUAAUAGGCACUGGUGGCUAUUCCACUUAUAAUAUUCGCAGCCCAACUGAUUUCUUUCGGUGAAAGUACUGCACACACAUACAUGUGUGAAUACCACCCUCAGAAUUUUGAUGUGGGGCUCAUUUUUAUGGCAGUAUACAAAAGCUGGAGUGAAAUAAAUUGAAGAUUUCCAAGCUUACAGUUGAAAAAAAAUUGUGAAAACAACCCCAAUGAAGAAUGCAUCCACCUUCCCUCACAGUCACUAAGAAGACCUGUUUGGGGAGGAGAGGAAUAGGGACAAAAAAAAAAAAAAUUGAAAAUACCAAAGUCUCUAGCUUAGGAUAGUUGGAGAUUGAGGAUUUUAGGUGAUUCAUCUGUUUGUGGUCACCUGCUUCCCCUGGACUACAUUUAGAUAGCAGUGUUGGGAUUUGAAGGAUGACUACAGUCAAUGAUAGCUUUUCUGUGAUCUUCCAGGAGAUCCAGCAAAGGGAGAGUUGAGAGAGAAUAUUUAAAAAGCAAGAGAAAACCCUGGAGUUUUAAGCUGUUAGCCACAUGGUAUUUACAAGCAGGUUUUUUUUUUUUUUUUUUUUUUUUUUUGAUGUUGUUGUUUGCUCUGACACUUUUUGUUGCUUUCUCAUCUCCAGGGAUCCUGAAGACUCUUGGAUAAAGGAUCCAAGAGGUUAGUCUAGUCUCUAUUCCCAGAUAUUUUAAAAGUUCAAAAUAAGGUACCCCACCAUAUCUAUACAGGUGAAUCACAACCUCCCAGAACUUGUUCUCCUGCCCUCUCUAAAUGACAGUCAGUUACUUCUGGGAAAUGCAAGCUGGAAAAUUUCAACUGGUGCAUUUCAAUCAGGUUCUAAUUUCUGAAAUCUUAUUUUAUUUUGACAAAGAUCUGGGGGCAGGAUAACAGCCAGAAAAACUGGCUGUCACAGAACAGAGAUUAAAAAAAAAAAAGCAUCUGAUUUUCCUGGUGGUAUAAUUAAAUAGUUUGUAUUCCUAUACAUUUUUCCUUCCUUCUUCUCCUUCCUCCCAAAGGGCAAAUAGUGGGAAAUGGAAAUAGUAAAUAUUACCCAUAUCAUGAAUUUUUAAGGAAUGACUUUCACAGAGGGGAAAAUUUUUCAAAAAUAUAUUUGAGCCAUUAAAGGUAGUUCUCUUGUUUAAAUGUCUUGUUAAUGGCAAGGAAUUAAUAUCCUUCCGUUUAGCUUAGCUUUUGCAAUGGCAUAGCAAUAUUGAUGUCCUUAUUAUAUUGAAUAUACACAUCUGAAGGUCCAAUUUAUUUCCCCCCUUCAGUGCAAAAACUCCACAUGGCUUUCCUGGAAGUUGAGCCAAAGUGAAAUCCUUCUUUUAAAAUCUCAUUUGCCUUUUAGGCUUAUGAGGGUGAAAGUAAGGGGGCAGUCUCCAGUAGAAUCAGGAUGGAGUGCCGAAAUCAGGAAGAUUUGCUAUGAUCUUUGCUGGGGAAAGCACACAGGGACAUAAAAAAGGGGGGGGGGGGAAAUAAUUGGUUUAUGAGAUCCAUUCUGAGCCUGGGAAUAUUUUGUAAGAUGCUACUUUGACAUGGAGUUCAGACAUCUAUUUUUGUGGACAUAAUACCCUUCACUAGCCGGCCAAUGGGCCGUGCCAAUUAGUCAUUCAAAGGACAGGAGGUUCUGUGGGAUUUGUACACAAUGACUGAGAGGCUGGUAGCCAUGAGCUGCAUUAUGAUUUAGGGGUACCUUGUCUUUGACUUAUAUUCAGGUGGCAGGGGGAAAAGACACCUAAGUAGAAGAGAAAAAGAAUCAGCAAUAUUUUCCAUUCUGCAAAGUUAAUUGUGGGCCAAGAGCAAAGUGCGUUUGAAAGGUCUCUUACAUGAAAUAACAUGCUGGCACUCUCCUUACAUGGUUGGGAUUUCCCAACAUGUUAGAAGAUACUAAUUUAAGUGAAGAAUGAGAAGAAAUUGUUGUUCCAAUAGGAACAACUCAGAAAAUACUGCUCUGAAUACCCAAUCUUAUUUAAUUUCCUUCUCUCUCAUUUAAAUAUGUGUGUAUACACAUAUAUACACACAUAUACAUAGGCAUAUAUAUGCCCCAGAUCUACAUAUAUGUAUAUAUGUACCCACUGAGAUUGGUUCCUUAAGUAGGCCCUUAAAAAUCAUCCUUGUACCUUCUUACCAGCUGGUAAAAAAGGCCUUUUCAGCAGAUAUUUUGUCUCAAGUUGUUUCUCCCAAACAAUAGCAUUUAGUUCCCGGUGCCAAUUGGGGCUGGUUGAAAUUCACAGCUGAGACUUCAGCUUAAAGAAAUAUAGCUUUAAAAUAACAUUACAUCGCAACUAUCAAGUUCUUCAGCAAUUCUAAUGUUCCAACAAAUGAAUCAGGAGUAAGAGAGUGCCACCACCAAAUAUCAAUGAGUCCAGCUCUGGGAGAGGUCAAGAACAAAUUAAUUAAGAGUCUCACUGGUACAAGGAAAGAUAGAAGAAUUACCAAAACAUUUCAGACAUUCUAUGAGUACCAAAGGGCCCUUGUUCUGCCACAUUUAAAUGAGAACCUGACAAGACCACAAAUGAUAAAAGGAAGUAAAUAAUUAAUGAUUACUCUUUAUAAAAAAAAAAAAAUGUUAUGGGUGUUAUUUUUUUUUAAGAGCCUUGCAUUGAAUUGUCAGUUUAAAAUUUAAGUUGCCUUGUAGACCCUUAAUAAUAGUAGCAUUUCGAGAGGCAAGAGCAGCUAUUGCUCAGGAGAGGACCCUUAUGAUGUUGGCAGCCCAAGCAAGGCCUAUUACCGCGAGUGAUGUGAGGUGUCCAUGCACUCAUGCUGAAGGCCGCAAACAGAAAUGAGAUUCUAGGGUGUCUACAUUUUCAUGUAACGCACUGGCUGGAUGCGCUGCAGAGGAAUACAGCUGAGGUUCAAGUACACUCACACUCCCAGCUAUCACCCGGAAAGGAUACUCCACACAUUCAAAUGCAAUCCCAUGGAACUCCGGAUGGAAUGGCCAAAAAAGUAUUCAAAUGUAGAAGUAGAGAACUACAAGAUUGUCAGCAAGCAGUGCUCCAGGAAUUGUUUCUAACGUGUUAAGUUUUACAUCUUUGGAAUAAAAUUAAUUUUUUUUCUUAAAAAAUACCCUCCGACUAAUG